UACAGAGGUCUCAAGCGUUGUUCGGAUUCAUUGGGCGUAAAGGGCGCGUAGGCGGUUCGUACAGUCAGACGUGAAAUUCCCGGGCUCAACCUGGGGACUGCGUUUGAUACGUGCGGGCUUGAGUUCGGAAGAGGGUCGUGGAAUUCCCAGUGUAGAGGUGAAAUUCGUAGAUAUUGGGAAGAACACCGGUGGCGAAGGCGGCGACCUGGUCCGAUACUGACGCUGAGGCACGAAAGCGUGGGGAGCAAACAGG
rnacentral:rRNA from 1 species